UUUUCAUUGAUUUAAAUCAAACCUGUUGUGAUUUAAGUGAAUGAAAUCAUCAUUCACCAUGCUGUUUGCUGAGCUUGACUCCGGGCAGUGUGGCUAUUUU
rfam:Streptococcus cuniculi strain NED12-00049-6B 3, whole genome shotgun sequence.